GGUCUCUUAGCUCAGUUGGUUAGAGCACCUGACUCAUAAUCAGGUGGUCGCUGGUUCGAGCCCAGCAGGGACCA
rnacentral:tRNA from 1 species